GCAGUCGAACGGCAGCACAGUGGAGCUUGCUCCAUGGGUGGCGAGUGGCGGACGGGUGAGGAAUACAUGGGAAUCUACCCAGUCGUGGGGGAUAACGUAUGGAAACGUACGCUAAUACCGCAUGCGCCCUUUGGGGGAAAGUCGGGGACCGCAAGGCCUGACGCGAUUGGAUGAGCCCAUGUUCGAUUAGCUAGUUGGCGGGGUAACGGCCCACCAAGGCGACGAUCGAUAGCUGGUCUGAGAGGAUGAUCAGCCACACUGGAACUGAGACACGGUCCAGACUCCUACGGGAGGCAGCAGUAGGGAAUAUUGGGCAAUGGGCGGAAGCCUGACCCAGCCAUGCCGCGUGAAGGAAGACGGCCUUAUGGGUUGUAAACUUCUUUACUAUGCGAAUAGAGGUUAGUACGAGGUACUAAUAGGAAGGUAGUGUAGUAAAAAGCACCGGCUAACUCCGUGCCAGCAGCCGCGGUAAUACGGAGGGUGCGAGCGUUAUUCGGAAUUACUGGGUUUAAAGGGUGCGUAGGCGGUUAUAUAAGUUGUCAGGGAAAGGCUACGGCUCAACUGUAGUAGUGCUGGCGAUACUGUAUAGCUAAGAACAUGGGAGGGGUACCUGGAAUGUGUGGUGUAGCGGUGAAAUGCGUAGAUAUCACACAGAACACCGGAGGCGAAGGCGGGGUACUAGACCAUAGUUGGCGCUGAGGCACGAAAGCGUGGGGAUCAAACAGGAUUAGAUACCCUGGUAGUCCACGCCCUAAACGAUGAUCACUAGAUAUUGGCGAC
rnacentral:rRNA from 1 species